UACGUAGGGGCCUAGCGUUGUCCGGAUUUAUUGGGCGUAAAGAGCUCGUAGGCGGUUCGGCAAGUCGGAUGUGAAAUCUCCACGCUUAACGUGGAGGGGCCAUUCGAAACUGCCGUGACUCGAGUCCGGUAGGGGAGUGUGGAAUUCCCGGUGUAGCGGUGAAAUGCGCAGAUAUCGGGAGGAACACCAGUGGCGAAGGCGGCCGGCUGGGGGCGCCCUGACGCUGAGGCGCGAGAGCGUGGGGAGCAAACCGG
rnacentral:rRNA from 1 species